GGGUCAGUAGGUUGGUCGUGCCACCGGUACGUACUGGUCUCACUGAUUCCUCCUUCCUGAAGAACCGUAAUGCCAUUAAUUUGGUGUUGCGGGGAAACAGGACUGUUACUUUGAAAAAAUUAGAGUGUUUAAAGCAAGCUAACGCUUGAAUACAUUAGCAUGGAAUAAUGAAAUAGGGCGAUCGAUCCUAUUUUGUUGGUUUCUAGGAUUGACGUA
rnacentral:rRNA from 1 species